AUGGCUGCGGGAGCACCUCCUCAGGCGCCACCCGGCUCUCAGAGAGACCGAGACACGGGCGCUGCCAUGGAGAGGCCCCUCUGCUUCCUCAGAGACUCGGAAGACAGCAGCGGGGAGGAAUGUGCAAGGGGCGUGGCACAAGCAGAGCAGGGCGGGCACAGGUGUCCCAGGGGGCCAGUGCCAGCGGGAGGGACACAGGUCUCCCAGGGGGCCAGUGCCAGCGGGAGGGGCACAGGUCUCCCAGGGGGCCAGCGCCGGCGGGAGGGGCACAGGUCUCCCAGGGGGCCAGCGCCAGCGGGAGGGGCACAGGUCUCCCAGGGGGCCAGUGCUGGUGGGAGGGACACAGGUCUCCCAGGGGCCAGUGCCGGCGGGAGGGACACAGGUCUCCCAGGGGACCAGCGCCAGCGGGAGGGACACAGGUCUCCCAGGGGGCCAGCGCCGGCGGGAGGGGCACAGGUCUCCCAGGGGGCCAGUGCCGGCGGGAGGGGCACAGGUCUCCCAGGGGGCCAGUGCUGGAGGAAGGGGCACAGGUCUCCCAAGGGAGCCAGCGCCGGUGGGAGGGGCACAGGUCUCCCAGGGGGCCAGCGCCGGUGGGAGGGGCAGGCCUCAUCUGGCUCCACCUGCUCGGCCCUGCCCUGGCCCCUCUGCCCAGGCAGUGCUGUGCUGUGGGCAGUUCCAGGCACAGAGGCCUCACACAGGCCAGGCCUCCCAUUUCCCGAGGGUCGCAGGCAGGUGCUGCUGCCCACAUCCCAGCCACCAGGGCACCACUGGGAGUCCUGGAGUAACCCAAGGAUGGGCCCCCAACAGCAGCAGAUGGGGGGCUGGUCCUGCUGGCCCUCCAGGCUGUUGGAGCCAGGAGUGGCCAAGGAGGGGGACAGCCCUGGGCCUCCGCUUCCCAGGACAUCAUCUCCAUCAUCUUUCCAAGGAGAUGCCCGCAUGCUGGGGGCUCCGGCUGAAGCGCCCCUCGGAGGUAGGAGGGGAAGAACCACAUCCUGUCCUCCUCGGCCUGGACCGCCUCCCCAGAUACUGCGCUGUCCUGGGGUUUCCAGAUGCCGCCUGGUGUGGCCACGGGGGAGGGCGCGGGUGCGGAGAGUCCCAGUGGGAGGGGCUCCAAGCAGAGUGCGCCCUGGUGGCCCCAGAGAGGGCAGGGGGAGGCCACCUCCAGAGCCCAGUGUCUUGCAGCUUCCUGUCCAGGGCCAGGACCCCACUGGACAGCUGAGGCCCCGGGGAUUCCGAGGCAAUCAGCAGUCAAGGCAGCUCCAGUGGCCCUGGGGUAGCUGGUUUCAGGCGGGGCCAGGACACAAGGCCAAGAGGCUCAGGGCCUGAAAGCCAGCAGCUGACACACAGGUGAGCGCUGGGCAGCGCUUCGUGGAGUAGCGGACCAAGGAGCAGAGUGGGAUGGUGGGUGUGCGGCUCCACACGGCUCCACACAGUGGCAAACCGAGCAGGGACACACAGGGUUUGCUGGGUGGUGGCCAGGAACGAGGGCCCCUCAGGCUAGAAUUCAUCAAGGUGCAAAUCGGGCAAGACAGAAGCCGGAACGCACGAGGGCCCCGGCCAGAGGUCCCAGCCGACAGCACAGCAGGGCCACUGCCUGCAAGGGCACGACCGUGGAUCAACUCCGAGAGCUGCCGGCCAGCCCAGGCCACGGCUCUGCUCCCCACACGCACCUCGGCCCAAGCUGAGCUCCAGCCCCUGGCUGCUCCCACCCAGCGCUCUGUGUUCCACCCCAAGAAAGCACACACCACAGGGUCCAGACAGACACCCCAGGGCACUUCGAAAAGAAAACGGAAUGGAAAGGCAAGCUUAUGGUGGUGAAGAGAAAGCCCGACAGCAACCUGGCUGCUCCUCUUCCAGUCCAGCUCUCUGCUGUGGCCUGGGAAGGCAGUGGAGGAUGGCCCAAGUCCUUGGACCCCUGAACCCACGUGGGAGACCAGGAGGAAGCUCCUGACUCCUGGCUUUAGAUCAGAGUAGCUCUGGCCAUUGCUGCCAACUAGGGACUGAAUCAAUGAAUGGAAGACCUCUCUCUCUCCCUCUCUCUGCCUCUCCUUCUCUCUGUGUGUAACUUUUUCAAAUAAAUAAAUAAAUAAAAAUUUAAAAAAAAAAAAA
rnacentral:lncRNA from 1 species